rnacentral:misc_RNA from 1 species
AUUUUAGUGGUGAUCUUCAUUAUGAUGGCGCUGGUCGUGAGUCUAGAUACUCUGGCACUAGGAGUGAUCACAGAAGUGGACGACGAUGGCAAUCAAGAUAUGAGAUGCCAGAAAGAUUUCAUGAUGUCUAUGAUGAGCAAGGCUGGCAAGGUUCUUUGUGUGCAACGGGGCGUCAUCCACGCGGUACUUGUUCAUGUGAGUCCUCAUUCCUUGAUGAGGAGUCCGGUAGUCAUGCAAACAUUUCACAAUCACAAAUAUUCAUGCUUGCAGGUGCACUUUUUGAGGUGCUUGAGGAAAUUCAUCACCAUCGCUCGUCUCUUUCACUAUCUAUGCUUACACGUCCUGCUCCUGAAGCUGUUGUAAAUUCAUUUCCCCUCAAGAAUCAUAAAAAGUCAUAUGAAACUGGGAGUGGGAUGCAUGAUGCGCAUCAGUGUCAUAUUUGCUUGAUUGACUAUGAGGAAGGGGAUAAAAUUAGAGUUCUUCCAUGUUCACAUGAAUAUCAUAUGUUAUGUGUUGAUAAAUGGCUCAAAGAAGUACAUGGGGUAUGCC